CCCAGAGUAAAUUUGGAUUAAUACCUCAUAGUAUUUUCGAAUCGCAUGGUUUGAUUAUUAAAGUUCCAACGGUAAAAAGAUGAGUAUGCGUCCCAUUAGCUAGAUGGUAAGGUAACGGCUUACCAUGGCAAUGAUGGGUAGGGGUCCUGAGAGGGAGAUCCCCCACACUGGUACUGAGACACGGACCAGACUCCUACGGGAGGCAGCAGUGAGGAAUAUUGGACAAUGGGCGCAAGCCUGAUCCAGCCAUGCCGCGUGCAGGAAGACGGUCCUAUGGAUUGUAAACUGCUUUUAUACAGGAAGAAACACUCCCUCGUGAGGGAACUUGACGGUACUGUAUGAAUAAGCAUCGGCUAACUCCGUG
rnacentral:rRNA from 1 species